rnacentral:rRNA from 1 species
AUUGCCCCAGUAACGGCGAGUGAAGCGGCAACAGCUCAAAUUUGAAAUCUGGCCCCAGGCCCGAGUUGUAAUUUGCAGAGGAUGCUUUUGGCGCGGUGCCUUCCGAGUUCCCUGGAACGGGACGCCAUAGAGGGUGAGAGCCCCGUACGGUUGGACACCAAGUCUUUGUAAAGCUCCUUCGACGAGUCGAGUAGUUUGGGAAUGCUGCUCAAAAUGGGAGGUAUAUUUCUUCUAAAGCUAAAUAUUGGCCAGAGACCGAUAGCGCACAAGUAGAGUGAUCGAAAGAUGAAAAGCACUUUGAAAAGAGGGUUAAACAGCACGUGAAAUUGUUAAAAGGGAAGCGCUUAUGACCAGACUUGCGCCCGGUGAAUCACCCAGCUCUCGCGGCUGGGGCACUUUGCCGGCUCAGGCCAGCAUCAGCUCGCUGUCGGGGACAAAAGCUUCGGGAACGUAGCUCUCUUCGGGGAGUGUUAUAGCCCGUUGCACAAUACCCUUCGGCGGGCUGAGGUACGCGCUCCGCAAGGAUGCUGGCGUAAUGGUCAUCAGCGACCCGUCUUGAAACACGGACCAAGGAGUCAACCUUAUGUGCGAGUGUUUGGGUGUCAAACCCCUACGCGUAAUGAAAGUGAACGCAGGUGAGAGCUUCGGCGCAUCAUCGACCGAUCCUGAUGUUCUCGGAUGGAUUUGAGUAAGAGCAUAUAGGGUUGGACCCGAAAGAAGGUGAACUAUGCGUGUAUAGGGUGAAGCCAGAGGAAACUCUGGUGGAGGCUCGCAGCGGUUCUGACGUGCAAAUCGAUCGUCAAAUAUGCGCA